rnacentral:rRNA from 1 species
GACGAACGCUGGCGGCGUGCUUAACACAUGCAAGUCGAACGGAAAGGCCCUGCUUGCAGUGUACUCGAGUGGCGAACGGGUGAGUAACACGUGGGUGAUCUGCCCUGCACUUCGGGAUAAGCCUGGGAAACUGGGUCUAAUACCGGAUAGGAGCCAUUUUUAGUGUGAUGGUUGGAAAGUUUUUUCGGUGUAGGAUGAGCUCGCGGCCUAUCAGCUUGUUGGUGGGGUAAUGGCCUACCAAGGCGGCUACGGGUAGCCGGCCUGAGAGGGUGGACGGCCACAUUGGGACUGCGAUACGGCGCAGACUCCGACGGGAGGCAGCAGUGGGGAAUAUUGCACAAUGGGCGCAAGCCUGAUGCAGCGACGCCGCGUGGGGGAUGACGGCCUUCGGGUUGUAAACUCCUUUCGCUAGGGACGAAGCUUUUUGUGACGGUACCUAGAUAAGAAGCACCGGCUAACUACGUG